ACACUAUUUAGGACAUAUACUGUUUAUAGAGAUAGUCCUAAUUAGUAUCUUUGCCAUUUGAUGUAUAAGAGUCAUCCAUACAUCGAUUCAAUUGUCCUGAAUGGUUUCUUCCAAAGAUUGACUUUCAGGGCAUAUUUCCAACAAUCUCCCACUUGCACUAAAGUGAAUCACUAGUGUAUCUUAUACAUCUUGUUGAGAGAGUUUAUGCUCGUAGGUUAACUUGGUUAUGUAUUAAUCCCUUUUAUUAUUCAAAAGGGAUUCACUUAUCAAAUAUAUUCCAAAACAUUUGAUGUGAUGUCUCUUUGUUGUGUUCGAAUACUUUGAUGAGACCUUGAUUCCAUGGCUUAAGCUAUCGCCCCAUUACGUCGUAGUAUCCUACUAACGACCUUAUGGUUUGGAUUCAAUCAUUGGUUCUAAAAGAACCCAUUCCAUUCAAAACACCUUUUGAAGCAGUUUCUAAAACAAUAUAUCGUCAUAUAUUUCGUUUGUAUACUUUAUA
rnacentral:lncRNA from 1 species